UGAUGAUGAUGUUAUUGGCAUUUUGGCAGGCAAGUGAAGAGCAGAAUCAAGUGCACAUAAACCCAAGUGGAGGAAACAAAAGAAGCAGUGUGGGCUGAUAUUAGGUUGUUUUUAAUUAUAGAUUUAUGCUCUAAAAAAAAUCAAACUUCGUUGUUGGUUGGAAAAGGAGACGUAAAACGUAGGAGAAGAGAAGGAAAAAAAAAAUGAUGAUGUUAUUUGUAGGUGUGAAUGAUUUGCUUUUGAUUAUUUAUUUAGUCAGUCAGAUGUUCUCUCGCUAGCUCUAUCUCUCAUGACUCGGGUGUGUCUCAUCAGAGAGAGAGAUAAGAAGAAGUUGUACAUGUUGUUUGAUUAUUGUCCCAAGUAUCUCUCUAACUCCAUUUGCCUCUUUCAAUCAACCCUUUUGCUUUUGUCUUCUUGACAUCAUCUGAUACAAUGUCAAGUCCGUUUCUGUAGUAUUAUAUAUGCGAUAAAUGGAUGAAUAAGCUUUUAUGAAUUCACGUAAUCACGCAACAAUAUUUUGGAUUAUUAAAAAAUGGUUCUAAAUUGGGAUUGUUUCGAACAAUAUGAUUCUGCACAUUCUUAAAAGUAAAGUUAUUUUGGUUAGGCUUAAAACCUUAACAAAAACCCGAUCCUUCUUUGGAUCACAUUGGUCGUGGUUUCGUCUGUCUCUGUGUAAUAAUGGCUGCUGCUUGUCGUAAGCUGUUUAACAGAGCUUCUGUCUCUUCUCUCAAAUCUGCCCUCAGAUCCGCCACUGGAUCAUCGUCGCCUGCCUCAUCAGCUGGAUUUCGUAUACCUUCUCAACCCUCUCGCCAUUUCUCAUUCUCCAGGUGUCCAUCAGAACUGGGAUGUGUUCAGUCUUUGUUACCGCUGCACAGCACGGUGGCAGCAGCGAGGUUGACUUCGUGCCUAAGCACAACUUCAAGGAGUAGCCGAGCUCUCUCUCAGGGUACACUUUGCUGCACCUCUCCCGACCUCUAAUGCAUUUUCUCUUUACUUUUCCUUAUGGAGUCGAUGGCACGUGAGAUGUGUUUGCAGUUUGUUUUAAAGAGCUUGGCCUUUCAGUUCCGAGGUGACUCUAAAACCGGCAUGAAGGUUUAAUUCCAUUGAAGGGGCAGGAUUUCAGAAGAGUUGUUUCUUCUUCCCUUUGUCAAAUUUAGAGACACAACAAGUGUCUGUCAUUCUUUUCUGUGACAAAUAAUUACAAAAUCUUAUGUACUUUGAUUUAUGAUGAGAGAAAUGUUAUACAAAUUGUCAGCUUUUGUUGCCUUUUUCAGUAAAUUAGUAGAACUUACUAUGUA